GUGAGAGGAAGAGGUCGAUGGAGUGGGACAAUGAGAGGGGGAGGAAGAGUGAGAGGUAAGGCUGCUGAAGGAAGAGGAGGAGGAGACAUUAGCUGAUCAUGUUAUCAACCAUGGAUUGACGCUGAGAGCCCAACUUGAGCAGAUUUACUGUUUCCUCUGUCAUCCGGAUACCACAAAUCAUCAACUGUUUGUUAUCUGUUUACUUCAUGAAUGGCUGCCAUGCCAUGCAUUUUAUAACUGUACAAGAAUCCUGCACAAUCUACUGUGGGAGGAAAAAACUUCUUUAGGCUACACUGGCCAUUUAUGUACUAUAUUUUUGGCUUGUCGAAAGGACUGAAAGACAGCAACGAGGUGGUGGAAGGGGCCCAAUGCUCAAAGCCACAUCAUAAGAGAUAACACAGUUUUCAACAAUAUCCAGCAAGUCAGCUUGUCUAUUUUGGCCCGUAUUCUCCUCCAAAACCAAGAGCACAUGGAGCAGCUCGAUAGGGCGCCUUCUGAGAGAAUGCCCAGAGAAUAAAAAAAAAGUUUGUGGAAAGAGUACGGGAAAUGGACUCUGGUGUCACCCUCACAAAGACCAGGAGAAGGGGAAGAAACAUCACUGGUCACAGAGGCAUUGCAGAUGUUCCUGGUCAACAUGGUGGGAUGUUCCUGGUCAACAUGGUGGGAAUAUUACAAUGUGUGCCGCCAUACAAAUAAUGGUGUCCUCCACCGCCACGCCCCCCUCGGUCCAUACAAAACAAACCACUUUCUCACAUUUUUGGAUAGACUGCCCAACAUAUUGAAACCAGCAGACCGCAUGGAUAAUGCACAGGGGCACAGAUGUGUUGUAGCAUGGGACAAUGUCAGCUUCCAUCGUGCAGCCCUGGUCCAAACACACACAGUUUCUGGUUCAGUACCUUCCACCCUACUGUCCAUUUCUCAAUCCAAUCAAAGACUUAUUUUCGGCAUGCCGGUGGAAGGUGUAACACCGAGGCGUGUGAUGACACUGAAGUGCCGUCCAGGGCUGGAUAUGACAUUCCCAGUGCUUCUUCCCUCGCUGUCUUGCAAUGGAGGAUAUUUCAUGUGAUGUGGAUGAGAUGCUGUGACUGGACCCAGCAAGGUGACAAGAUGCAGCCUAAAUAUUCUUUGCUGUUUUUUCUUUUUUGUGUGUGUGUGUAUUUUUUUCUGUACAUGCAGUAACAUCCCAGGUUUCUUAUCACUGUAUUUGAUAGAGCAUAUGUUUUUGUUCCUACAACUCUAAUGCAGGAUGUGCUGUGCAUUUGCUUGAAAGAUCUGAGUACUGGUGUGUCUGCACAUUUCUGUGGACUUGAAAAAUUUCUCUCUGUAUACAGAGCUAUGAUGACAAGCCCACCAGAGAUGAAAGUGCGUUCGAUUGAGCGCAGCAGUGUGUA